CCGUGACCAUAUACGAGUUGAGAGAUUUUUGAAACAUUUCACUCCGCAGCUUGAGUAUUCAAAUUUUCAUCAUUCCCAUUUUUUUCUUUAUUCCCUUUGGCUGAAACUUUAACUUAUUUCUCAUCAAUUUAUUAAUUGUUUUGUAUUUUACUUAUGGCAAUGUAUCGCCUCUCUCACGGCCGCCGUCUCCUCAGCCUCCGCCACUCUUACCUGUCAAUUGCCCUUUCCGGGAUUAUCCCUCCGCCAACAUCAAACCAUAGUAAUAAUUCCCUUCAUUCUUCAUUCUCUUCUUGAUGCUUCUAAUUUCUUCGAAUUCUCCUGAAGAAACUCCAGCUCAAAACACCAAUUUUACAAUUCUUUUCAUCUAAUCCGAGCAUUCGGUGCGUAUCAAACGCUUUUUGGAAAUUCUCACAUUUCCUCGCUAGCAUCAAAGGAAAAUGAGCAAAAACCGAAAAUUAAUGGGAGUUGUAAACUCGAUCCGUCGUGGAUCAAUGUUCGUUUACCUGAAAAGGCUCGGCCUUAUGCCCACCUGGUGCGCCUCGAUAAGCCGAUUGGCACUUUGCUUCUUGCUUGGCCAUGCAUGUGGUUAGUACAUUCGUUUAUUUAGUGAUUUUUGUACUUUAAGAGAAAUUAUAGUUGUGCUAAAAUUGUGCUUACAUGGAUCAAGUAUUGGAUACUUUUACAAUUGGAAGGUUAAUUAUCUGUUUGAAUGCUUUAGGAUUUGAUAGUUAUGGGGUAUAUUUUUUUAUUUCGUUGUAGAUCUAUAACCAUGGCAGCAGGUGCGGGGAGCCUUCCAGACUUUAAGAUGAUGGCUCUGUUUGGUUCGGGGGCAUUCCUUUUACGUGCUACAGGAUGUACAAUCAAUGAUCUACCUGAUCAGGAUAUUGAUAGAAAGGUGAUUGGUUCUCCUCUUUAAAGUGUUGUAUUUGUACCACAUUUGCAAUUUGGAAUAAAUGGACUUUAUGCGUGCUAAUGAGAUUGUAAUAUGUAAUAAAUGUAUUAUUUAACUAAUUACUUCAAGUUUCAAAUGCUUUUUUUCUUCAUAUUCGACUUUGCUCCUUUUAAAUUUCGGAUUCAAGUAAAGAAAUGAAGUACAAAGGACAGGAAGAAAUGAAUAGGCAUGUGACAUUAGUCAUUAGUUCAAUCUUCAUACUUUAGUUGAAAAUAGAGACACUAGGGAGAUUAAUAUACAUGACUAGACACUAGGGAGAUUCAUAUACAUGACUAAUGGAGAAUCUGAACUUGAUAAUGUUAUCGAACUUUUGAUUUGCAGGACUUUGUACUUAUCUUUGUUCCUUUCCCUGGAAUUUUCAACCAAGCAAAGCCUUAAGUUUCCAUAUGCACACUAGCAUGCUUUAAUACAUGAGGUUUAUGAAGGCUGAACUGUAGAACUAUUUCUUGAAUUAGCGAAAUCUGAAAAGACUAGUCUUAUACAUUAUGCAGUUCUCACUUGAACUUAUAUGAAUGUAUGUAGAAUUUUGAUAAUGGCUUCGGACUGUUGAGCUCAGUUUGGCACUAGAGGAAGUCAGGUGUAAUGAAUAGGGGAAUUGAAAGCCAGAUUGGGUCCUAGGAGAGAAUUCUCUCCCUUUCUUUGUCGUGGUGAUGGGAAAAUUUGAUGAAACUAAAUUUUGAAUGAUUCUUCAUUAUGUGAUUCAAAAUUUUCCGAGGGUAACUUGAUCAAAAUAAAAGACUCCCUUUCAAUUUCACUUCAAAUUCAG
rnacentral:lncRNA from 1 species